AUGCCGAUCAUCGAAGAACUGCUGGAUGAAUUACAUGGUGUAGCCUGGUUCUCCAAACUAUACCUUCGCUCCGGCUACCAUCAGAUUCGCUUGGCAGAGGGCGAGGAGUACAAGACUGUGUUUCAAACACAUUCAGGGCAUUACGAGUUCCUUGUGGUCUCUUUCGGCCUGGUAGGUGGACCAGCCACAUUCAACGGCGCCCUGACAACAACUCUCAAGCCAGUUGACCCCAAGUGUGUGCUCCUCUUCUUCGACGACAUAUUGGUUUUUAGCAAGACCCUUAGAGACCACAUCAACCAUCUCCGUCAAGUCCUGCAGCUGCUGCGCCGUGAUCAAUGGCACGUGAAGAGAUCCAAAUGUGAGUUCGCCCAACACAGCCUGUCGUACUUGGGUCGUGUCAUCAGCAGCGAAGGAGUGUCAACUGAACCAACCAAGAUACAUGCGGUGGCAAACUGGGAAACACCGACGGAUGUCAAGACAGUACGCAGCUUCUUGGGGCUUGCAGGGUACUACCGGCGAUUCGUCAAGAAUUUUGGCAUCAUAGCACGACCCCUGUUCAACCUGCUGAAGAAAGUAGCACCCUUCGUCUGGACACCUGCAACCGAUACUGCCUUCCAGCUGCUGAAGCAACACCUGAUCGAAGCCCCAGUUCUCGCCCUACCCAACUUCUCUCGACCGUUUGUGAUCGAGACCGAUGCCUGCGACAAGGGAAUAGGCGCAAUUCUUCAGCAAGAUGGCCACCCGAUUGCAUACAAGAGCAAAGCGUUGAGCCCGCGCUACCAAGGCCUCUCAACAUAUGAGAAGGAGUACUUGGUAGUCAUCGUGGCUGUUGACCAAUGGCGCCCUUACCUCCAACAUGCAGAGUUCACUAUCCUCACUGACCAGCGGAGCUUGAUACAUCUGACAAAACAUUGGCUUACAACACCGUGGCAGCAACGAGCCUUCACCAAGCUGUUGGGACUCCAGUACACCAUCAAGUACAAGAAGGGGGCGGAGAACACAGCAGCUGAUGCCCUGUCAAGAACCAACACAGAAGAAGUGAUGCACACUCUCAGCGUGUGCCAACCGGCUUGGCUAGAGGACAUCGUCAACAGUUAUAAUACCAACCCGCAAGCGCAACGCCUCCUGGAGCAACUGGCUGUGCGGGAGGACCCCAAAGGAUGA
rnacentral:rRNA from 1 species